rnacentral:rRNA from 1 species
GGGGAAUUUUGCACAAUGGGGGAAACCCUGAUGCAGCAACGCCGCGUGAGUGAAGAAGGCCCUUGGGUUGUAAAGCUCUUUCGAUUGUGAAGAAGGCAGGGGAGUAAUGAUUUUCUGUUGACGGUAUCAAGAGAAGAAGCACCGGCUAAUCUCGUGCCAGCAGCCGCGGUAAUACGAGAGGUGCGAGCGUUGUUCGGAAUGACUGGGCGUAAAGAGCACGUAGGCGGGUUUAUAAGUCGGAUGUGAAAACCCUGGGCUCAACCUGGGACGUGCAUACGAAACUGUAGAUCUUGAAUGUCUGAGAGAUUGGUGGAAUUCCAGGUGUAGGAGUGAAAUCCGUAGAUAUCUGGAGGAACAUCGGAGGCGAAGGCGGCCGAUUGGCAGAACAUUGACGCUGAGGUGCGAAAGCGUGGGGAGCAAAC